ensembl:lncRNA
GAAAAUACAACUAAAGAGAAUGCUUUGUGACCAAAACAAAAGGAUCUCCCAUGGGUACAGAUGGCAACAUCACGGUACUUAAAAUAGCAUUCAGAGACUACCAUUGUAGACCAGGAUUUACACUACAGACAAAGAUUUCUUAAAAACGAUAUAGUCUUUCAAAUUAAUGUAUCUGGCUGCCUUUCUUCAGCACUGCUGCUUCACCUGCAGCACAUCAGACAAGAGGUGUUCACGCUGGAAUAUGCACCUGAAACAGUGCACUGUGCCAUGCGAUGGAUUCAGAUGAGUGCACACGGAACUUUUUAAGAAAGCCAAGGAAGUAAUUUUCAAGGCCUGAGCCACCAUGAAAGGUGGUGGAAGAUACAGGCUUUAAAGGAGGGAUAAAACUGAGAGCGGAAGAAGAGUGAAGGUAAGGGGAAGCAUUGGACAAAAUGAUGGGUGAAACAUUGAGAAAAGAUCUAGCUGUUUAUCCUUUUCAUUUACGGAGGUAACAGGAGACCAGGCUGGAAAACUAAGGAUUGUAUUGGGAAGGUACAUGAAUGCCCGGCUCGGAGUCAGGACACUGUACUCUGGAGGGCCCUGCUCAGUACAGGGCCCACCACUUGCAUCCAGCUUCUGAGCACCUGAAAUGCAUCGAGGCCACACUGGGGCGUGCGGUUUUCAGGCAAAGUACAGACCAGCUUUUGAAGACUCCAGAGGAAAA